UUUGUGCCCUUAAAAUACAACUAUUCACCGUCUUCUCAAACAAACCUCAUUUUCUUUCCUCCUUCCUUGCUUUCCUGAUGUCUCUUUUAAACCCAACGACCAUCCUCCCCAUUCCUUUAAAUAACCAACAGCCUAUUCCCCAUUGUUGGUCUUAAGUUUCGAUCCUUUCUUGAGUAUUCGAAGGAAUAACAAACAUGGCUCUUCUUUAGUAUGUCUGAUUUCUUGAACAAACCCUCAUCGUUCCCUUGAACCCGCCGAGGAAGGGGCAGCAGCCACAACCUUCGAUUCCUUGUCCUUUUCCGGGAACAAACACAUCACGGCCACCUUGUUCUCUUCUCCUCUGGGUUUCGGUUCUACAGCCCUCACUCUCCUCUUCAAAUUCUGCUGCUCGUGACCCAAAUUAUUCCGAGUUAAGGUGAAGCACCAAAGCUCAUGGUUUCCUAUUCAUUUCAUUGCUUUGGCCGCCAGUUCUUUUGGGUUGUUGGAGAUUGUUUACAGAUCGGUACCAAUCGGGAAUAAUGGGGAUAACAGAGGUGAUUAGAGUAUUCUUGAAAGACAUGUUGUAUUUGAGUAUGUAUAGAGGUUGUAGAGUCUGUAUUGGGUUUUUGUAAUUACGUCGUAGAUGGUUAUGUUAACUAUUUGGGUUCCUAUGGUUAAUUUAUGAUUAUUUUGGGACCUUGGUUUAGAUUUUUGGAUUUAAGAUUAAAUGUUACAGUUAUGUUUUGGACCUCGUGACCCUUCCUACGAGUUAUGGUUUGAAAUUUGAGUUUUUUGGAUAAGUAAACUCCGUGAUAACCUAUCGUACCAAGUCAACGGUAAACUGGGUUGUUAUAAUAAGAAUAUUGUUCAAAAUAGAAUUAUUAAAAAGUAAAAGGGUGUAAUUAAAAUAGAAAUGAUGACAAACUCACGAGAACAUAUAUAGUAUAUAUAAAAAUUAGUUCCAACUUUAUCACUAUUAUAUCACGUUGAGGAGCGAAAGGUAUAUGCUCAAAGUAAAUUUAAAACGCUCAAAAAUUAGAUGGGGUGAACUCUUAGGUCAUGUUAAGUUCAUCUGAUUGGUUGCAUCAAGCAAAAAUAAGAAGUAGCAAGCAAACAACUAAAUUUGGAGAUAUGCGGAAGAUAGGCAGUUCAUUGGCAAACAUUCAAGCAAGAGAAAUGACUAAGUUUAGUGGGAGGUUACUUUCAUUUUCUCCAUUUUAAUAGCAAGAAAUAAGCUAUCUUGAAAUAGAGUCGUAGUUUUCAUGUUCGUAAUAUCUUGCAAUGACCGCGAACUUACAACCAUAAAACUCUCAAUUAAACCUAAACAUAAAAACAUCCAAGAACAUGACACAAUGGCUCUAGGUUCGUUGUCUAAGUUACACAAAGGGAUUCCUACACUGUUUUCGGGCUUCUAAGCCUCCGAACAAGUAAUAUGGACUAUGAUUCUAGAAUACUGUAAUUUAGGAUGGAAAUAUUGUGAUUUAUGAUUUUAUGUCCUUUCUACAAUUAAUGGAAAAAUUGAAAUGAAUAAGAUAAAUUAUCAAAAAAAUGCACGAAAUAAGAUAAGUUUCAACUAAUUUUUUAAAAAUAAGCGUGUAAUUUCCAAACUUAUGGUUUGGGGCUGUUCGCAGUUAAUAACUGCGAAAAAGUGUUGACUUUUGUUUGACCUUGUUUGCAGUUACUAACUGCGGACAGAAUGCACCACAAAAACGCAGCAGCAGCUCCCUUCGUUCCCAUUUUCCCCAAUUUCAAAACCCUAUCUUAAACUACUCGGAAUUCCCCUUACAAAACCACUACUAGACUAGCUUCAAUCUGUCAAUUCUUACAUUCCUCUUUCAAUUUAGCACUUCAAAUUUAGUAUGGGAUACUCUAACUUGCACAAAGGUAAACUUUUAUUUUUUUUUUUCGAGUAUAUACUCUUUCAAUAAGGGUAUGAUGUUUGAUAGUAAGGAAGCGUUGUUGGAAGCUAUUAGAGUGUAUCAUAUUCGUAAAAAUGUGGAGUAUAGAACGAAGACCUCAAACCAAACUGUCCUUACCUUGAUGUGUAAGGGGUUGUUCGUUGAGACUUAGGGCUACGCUCAAUUCAUAUUUAUCUUCAUGGCAUAUUGUUACGUAUAAGGGUAAGCAUGGGUCUUGUGUUUUGGGUAGUGAUACUGUCUCGGUUGGACACAUUCACUUGACAUCUUGUGUCAUUAACAAUGUCAUUAGAAAUUGUGUUUCUAAAGUCCCAUCCAUUAAGGUAUCUGUCGUACGGCAGAUGAUUAAAGAUCGUUUUGAUGUAGAAGUGAAUUAUAAGCGAGCGUGGUGUGCUAAGCAACAAGCCUUGUUGUCCAUAUAUGGAACUUGGGAAGGUUCUUACUCAAUCCUUCCACGCUUUUUAAAAGCUUUGCAACAUUCCAACUCGGGCUUAGUAGUUGAGUGGUUUUUUAAGGAAAAUAAUGACAAGUGUGUAUAUGUGUGACCUAAUAUUAAGACCUUCCAACGUGUCUUUUGGCCCUUUAAACCUUGCAUUGAAGGCUUCAAUCAUUGUAAACCUCUUAUCACCAUUGAUGACACACAUUUGUAUGGUAAGUAUCGUCAUACCUUAUUGACUGCCAUUGCCCAAGAUGGUGAUAAGGGAAUCUUUCCAUUAGCGUUUGUCUUGGUAGAGAAGGAGUGUAUAGGUGCAUGGUCAUGGUUCAUGGCUUGUAUUUGUAAGCAUGUCACACAUAGAAUGGGUUUAGGCAUUAUUUCUGAUAUACACGCGGGUAUUUUAGCAACUAUGGAAAAAUCGGAGUGGCAAUCAUAGGUUUUGCUUAUGUCACUUGCUUAGCAACUUUAAUCGUGCUAUGGGUAAUGUUCAGCUGAAGAAGUUGUUUGCUAGAAUUGUUGAGCAAAGUCCACAAGUUAAGAUACUGAAUUGCUUAAAGGCAAUCAGGACUGUAAAACGAGAGGCAAUUUUCUGCAAAACAAGUUAAGAAGUCGCUUAGUAACUAAUGAUUUUCAUUUUAUUAAUGAUAACAUACAAGUAACUUAUUUAAAUGUCUAUUUUCAUAGGUGUCUGAUACAAACACGUUAGGGACUAGGCAUUUCAUUCCGUGGGUGAUCGAUGAGAGGAUCAUCCCGUACCUUGAGUGCACGAGGUUGUAUGACUUUGACCUCGUUGCGUACGGUAGAGUUGACCGUGCUAUUAUCACAACACUGGUAGAGUUGAUUGUGCCAUUAUUACAGCCCUAGGAUACUUGUACAAGAGGCUAUGUAGUGUUGCCCACAAGAACGUCAAAGAGAUUGUAGGAUUAUUAGUCAUAUUACAGGUAAUAAAAAUAACAUUUAAUUCUAAUCCACAUUUGGUGAAUUACAUACUAAUUAUAUUAGCAAUCAUUAGUUGUGGGCGUGGGAGCAUAUUCUUGUCGGGUAACUUUACAGAAGCGUUGGUCGUGGUGAAGUUGCUCCUCCACAACAACCUCCACCAGAUGUUGCACAUGCAUCACGGUGGAAUUUCGCACGCCGAACGCGCAAACACACCGAGACCUGUCUAGGAUUCUACCGAUAUCAGUUAGACCUGCUGCGACCCAACCAAGUACAUAUUUCAGUACUCAUUAACAUAAUUGCAAUUUAAUUAACACAUCAUUUACAUUUUCAUAACAUAUAUUAUAGUUUUUGUGGGACCCGUACCCUGCCGAAGCCUAAGUAGUUGUGCCCAAGCACUCGGGGAUUCAGUCAGGUGCAUGAAGGGCUUCUGUGCCACUCAUAUGCUUUGACAUUGUCGAAGUACAUCUAGCGGAGCGCGUACUGUGUCAAUAUGGGUUGAUACAGAGCAUUCCACCGCCUUGCGACAAUGAACCCGAGUUGCACCUGAUUUCACGCAAGAAUCAGGGUACGGCGAACUGGACGGAGAUCAACUGGCGCCACAUCGCUCGUUGGGAUCAUAGACUUGAGCUGUUGGCCCAAGGUGCACCGAUCAAUGUUCAUGGCGCACCUACUACACCUGACUACAUACCGUGGUUCCUCUCCAUCACUGCCGAUGGAUGAGACCACGUGGCAUCAUCAUAGCGUCACAUUAUGUUCCUGCUGCGCCUACGAUGACCCAAUUUGCACAAGGUGCGGCAAUCGUGAUGCGGUAUAGCCACGAGGAGCCGGUGAGGGAGAUUGCGCAAGGCAUGCUCGGCGGCACGCAGUUCCAGCACUUCAUACCGGAAGUUGCUACAGAGUCAUCACCGGCUACCACCGAUGCGCACGUCUCAUCUCUUGCUUUUGACUAUCAUUUGGAGGAAAUAGACCUUUCAUACCCCGUUGACGUUGCGGGGACCUCGCAGGCUGGACCAUCCCAGCCAUCACAGUACCAGUCCCCUUCUCUGCCAGAGUGACACAUAAAUGUCUCUUACUACCGUAGGAGGCGUAGAAGACCAACUCAGUUGGAUAGGGUAGAUGAGGGUGAUGAGCGUUAGCGUUAGGUUUUUGUGUAUUUGGA